AAAAACUAGGUGAAUGCAGAAAAUUGCAUCCCGCUGAAAUGACCCAGCAAGGAAUGCACAAAAUCUGCAGACUCACACCUCAAACAUCUAUCAGCUACCUCAGUUCAUCCAUGUGAUAUAAGCCACACCCAUUUACAUCUGAGGUCACAACUACUCAUCAGAUUUUGAAUAAUCCUCUUUCUACUGCUUCACAACAGUUCGCAAGCCACAACACUUCCAGCAUUAAUUCUUCUUCAACAAACCAGAAGACUCGUUAGGAUCCAUAAUAACUGCCAGUGUAGAGGAGCCUCAGUUACUUUCGCUUUGAUCAUUAUCCCUGGGAGAAGAAGCCAACAGCUCCUGGUCACCACAAUAAGAGAUUUCAUUUUUACCUCUUACGAAGAGCUCAGUGGAACAUUUCUCAUCACCGGCUGUCACAUAAUACUCCGAAUCAUCUGUCAUCUGACAGUUAUUGAUAAACAGGAUUCUCUGGCAUCCUUUGUGUUCAAAGAUGUAUCUGUUUUGAAUAGGAUGAAAAUAAACAGAGUCUGUGAAUGUGA